rnacentral:rRNA from 1 species
AUUGAACGCUGGCGGCAUGCUUUACACAUGCAAGUCGAACGGCAGCGCGGGCUUCGGCCUGGCGGCGAGUGGCGAACGGGUGAGUAAUAUAUCGGAACGUACCCAAGAGUGGGGAUAACGUAGCGAAAGUUACGCUAAUACCGCAUACGAUCUAAGGAUGAAAGCAGGGGAUCGCAAGACCUUGUGCUCCUGGAGCGGCCGAUAUCUGAUUAGCUAGUUGGUGGGGUAAAGGCCCACCAAGGCAACGAUCAGUAGCUGGUCUGAGAGGACGACCAGCCACACUGGAACUGAGACACGGUCCAGACUCCUACGGAGGCAGCAGUGGGGAAUUUUGGACAAUGGGGGCAACCCUGAUCCAGCAAUGCCGCGUGAGUGAAGAAGGCCUC